ACAAAACGCGUUAUUAAAAACUGUCGUAAGUUGGCAUCACUGCCGCAAGGGAUGCAUGGUCUCACCUCUUUAAGCGAGCUAGAUGUUGGAGGAUGUCCGAGUUUGAAAUCAUUGCCAGAAGGGAUAGGCAAUCAUUGCGAGAAGGGAUAGGCAAUCUCUCAUCACUUGAAUGUCGUUAUCUUUCUGGAACAUCACUCCCACAGUGGCUGCAUGGUCUCACCUCUUUAAAGAAACUAUCCAUUGAUGGAUGUUCCAGUUUAGAAUCAUUGCCAGAAGAGAUAGCCCAACUCUCAACACUUGAAUGGUUUACUCUUUCAAGAUGUGAUAAGUUGGCAACACUCCCACAAGACCUGCAUCGUGUCACCUCCUUAUACUAUCUAUCCAUCCGCGAAUGCCCUCUCAUAUCACAAACAAUCAAGAAAAAUCGAUACGGCCUCCGCUCUAAGCUUGCUCGUAUCCCCACAGCUUAUCUAGAUGGGAAACGCAUUCAUGCACACUGGCAUUUGCAAAUCUUAACCGGUUGCAUCUAGUAGCUAAUUAACUAUCCAAAUUCUGAGUGCUCAAAGCAGAAAGCCAAGUUUGCCCAUUUCCCCUGUUCGCAUUUGGUUCCUCUCCUCGGCGGCGAUGGACCAAACUCAAAAUCUCAGACCACGGUUCACUCCCUGGAUCACGACAUCCUCUGCAUCAUCUUUUCCUUGCUCGACCUCUUUGAUCUGUCCGAUGCUCUGUCAUCUGCAAAUCCUGGAAUGCGAUUAUGAAUAAGUCUAAGUUGCUGCAACUGUUCUACUACAAGCAAUAGCAGACGGGUCUCGUGGGUGUUUGUUUCCAAUAAGUCUAGUGAUUCGGAGGAAUCGUUGAACUAAUAUUUGGAUGGACUUCGUAGAUUGGCUUUGCAAGCGGGUGUUAUUGAUACUGAUUAUUGAUCAAGGGAGAGACUUCGCUGGGGAAGAUAUCAUUUUUAUGUAAACUUGAUUUCUUUUAGGGUGGAUCAUUGCCGAAUGAAGAUGGGCUUACUUCUUACCUGUGUAGGUGAGAAGGCGUUUUCCUCCUGAUUUUUUUCUUUCAUCCUUGUCUGGCUUCCUUCCAUCUUUCACUCAAUUUGCCCUGAUUCUCAUUUUGAGGUGAUUGUUUCAAAAUACCGUUGCACCAUCAUAUUCCAAUCCUGAGACAACCCCAAUUGUCAGACUUAUUCAUGAGAGCAAAGAUUGUUGGUUUGGUUGGCGCUCAUAUAUGUAUAUGGAUGUGAAAUGGAACAAAGAGUAGUUUCCCCUGAAGGGAGGCCACCUUUUCAAAGGGUUUAUGCAUUAGGACUUUGCCUUUCAACAUAAGUUCUCACUAAAUAUUUGCUGGGUCCACCUCUGGACAUACUUCUUGUUGGGACCUUAGGCAUGUAAUUAUGAGCUCUCUGCUAUCUUGACGGUCAGUUCCAGAGUAAAUUAACUAUUAGGACAAGGAGAAGAUCAUGGGAGACAGGGUCAGUCUCAAUGUCAUAUAUUCUGUAAAACUACUUCAGAAUGAUAAAUCAACUAUGGUUGUUUGGUUGGUGGAAUAGAUGUGGUGUGUUAUGCAUUUUGAACCAGAAUGCCGGUGAAAAUUGUCUCUAGCAUUAUCUUGGAAGGCAACAGAUCAAAUUUUCAACACCCACAUGGUGCCCUUGAAAGAUUAAAGGAAGAAGGAUUAAGAAGAUACUUGCUUUAACAGCAUUCCAAGAAGUGCUCGACUACCAGUAUCUUGCUUGGCUGUAAGGAUGAAGAAAGUUGCCACCACACAGAAAUGACAAUGAGAAGUUCUCAGAGACAUGAGUCAGUCUGAACGUCUUAUAUUCUGUACAACUACUCCAGAAUAAUAAAUCACUAUGGUUGUUGGUGGAAUAGAUGGUGUGCUACGCAUUUUGAACCAGAACCCAGGUGAAAUUGUUUCUAGCAUUAUCUUGGAAGGCAAUAGUUCAAGUUUUCAACACCAACAUGGUGCCAUUGAAAGAUUCAAAUGAAGAAGGCUUAAGAAGAUACUCUGGUUAACAGCAUUCCAUGAAGUGCCCGACCACCAAUAUCCUUCUUGGCUGUCGAGAUAAGGAAAGUGAAAGUUGCCACGACACAGAUAACUAGGUACAUCAGAGUGAGGAAAUUCAACAAUUAAUUUAGAGAACAAUGUUGAAUACUAGGAAAUUGUUAUUGUUUCCUUUCAUAGAAACUAUUAAAAUAUCAUAUGCUGUUCGAUUUUCCAGAUCCAAUUUCCACCCUUUUUUUAUGCAUCUUAUAUUUCCAUACUA